CCUGCUUAUCAUCUUUUGAUGGUUUCAUUGAUUGUUGAUAAGCUGUAAAAUUUGGUACAUGCCUAGUGUGUGCAACUGUAAUUGUUUUCAGAAUUCUGGUGCCUGCUGUGACUGUUAGUUGUCACUUUUGUUUUUUCGAUUAGAUUUGGCUCACCUGAAUCAAAUUACUGGUCCUUGUUUGAUCUUGCUUUUGUGAUUUUUAUGUGCCCAGGAGCUCUUGUGCUUCGUUCUGAUCUCCAUAUCAGCAUAUUGUGUAAGUGAAGUUGUCUCUCAUCCAUGAUCAAGGCCACCAUAGCCUUCUGGCUCUCAUGACCAGUCCCAAGCUGGAGUUCUAGUGGUCAUGUGACUCAAAACUUGUAGGGUAUGCCAAGAAAACUUGUUUGUCAACAUCAAGUUGAUAUAUUGGAUCGAUUGCGAUUUCCAUUUGGGUUAGUUUGUCCUGGUGUUUCUCCUGAUCAUCCUAAAACUAACAUUGCAAUUCAAGGGAGUAUUCAAAGACCUUCAGGCACUGUUGGACAUU